UAUUUCAUGGCUGGUGCAAUGAAAAAUCCCCAUAGACUAUUUUGAGUUGUAUAUUGAGAUCUGAAGGGGCAAAAGCCAAAGGGGUGUUUCAAAACAGAUAAUCUGAAGAUAUUUCAUAUCUAUUUUGAGGAUGAACAUAAUUUGAGCACAUAGGUAUUUAUGAUUAUCAAAAUAUCAAGAAAAAGUGAACGAAGAAAAAACUCGGGACAGAGUGUAGCUAUUAACCAAGAAUUGCUACCCAUUAUAGUCACAAUCUGUGACCUAUUGAUUAAGAGUCGGCUUGGGUAUACGAGUCGGUUUGGGUACGACUUGACUUGAUUCCCGUUAGAGGCCUAGAAUAACUCUUCAAUGCCUGUAUUUUGAUUUAUUUUCACUAUUUUGAUGAAUAGGACCAGCAUCGUGGCCACUUUUCAAGUUGAGAAAGAUUGAGUUUCAGCAGGAAAAAAUCUUAGAGGGGCAGAAGGAAAUCAUCGCUAAAUACUCUCUGAAAGUAAUCCAUCGCAAAAGAAAGGAAAUAAGACAGUUAAAAUAUGUGUACCCAGCCAAGUACAUAUUGCUGUGCAUGAUGGAUACUCCCAUGGAAUUUCCGUAGGAUUGUAGUGAAAAAUGAAAUCUGAUGAUGGAAACCAAAUAUUGAAAUGCAAUAAACAGAUAUUUCCUGUCUAUGCAAGAUAAAGGAAGGAGAGAGUAGAUUCUUUCAAGAAAGGAAUGGAUCUGUAUCAAAGGAAACAAGGAAAAUGGAAGUUAUACUAUAGACAGGCUGUAUUUAAACAAAAGACCUCCUGGGAUGAGGAGAAAAAGAAACAAGUAGAACCUGUAUUUCUUGUCGAGUACUUGAUGAUGUCAUCAGAAUAUGAAAAUGAUUGGGAAGAU